rnacentral:lncRNA from 1 species
AGUGGUGAACUACGGUCGUGAUCAUUAGUCUUAUCUGAUAUGUAGGAGCCAUAGUGGGGAAAUACGGCUAUAGUCAUUAGUUUAUAUCUAAAAUAUUUGAUAUGGAAAUGAAUCUGUUUGCCCAUUCACAGUGGUAGUUGGGAUCCCUUCUACCCUUAGCUAAUAUAAGUUAGAAUAGCUUCACGUGAAGAUCUGUAAAAGAUGUAAAUAAAACUUAACCACCUGAGGACAUGGCUAGAAUAGUUUGUUGAUAGCCCAUGCUUUAGUAGUUUAUUUUGAUAUGUUUCUCAUUGUUCCAUCAUGACAUUCCC